AAUAUUGGACAAUGGGGGCAACCCUGAUCCAGCCAUGCCGCGAGUGUGAAGAAGGUCUUCGGAUUGUAAAGCACUUUAAGUUGGGAGGAAGGGCUUUAGGUUAAUACCCUGAAGUUUUGACGAUACCACCAUAAUAGGCACCGUCUAACUAUGUGCCAGCAGCCGAGGUAAUACAGAGGGUGCAAGCGUUAAUCGGAAUUGCUGGGCGUAAAGCGCGCGUAGGUGGUUCAGUAAGAUGGGUGUGAAAUCCCCGGGCUUAACCUGGGAACUGCUUUCAUAACUGCUGAGCUAGAGUACGGUAGAGGGUAGUGGAAUUUCCUGUGUAGCGGUGAAAUGCGUAGAUAGAGGAAGGAACACCAGUGGCGAAGGCGACUACCUGGACUGAUACUGACACUGAGGUGCGAAAGCGUGGGGAGCAAA
rnacentral:rRNA from 1 species